GUAAACCUUUUUUUCCAGGACAGGGCUUCUGUGUAGCUUUGGCUGUCCUGAAUCUCGAUCUGUAGACCAGGUUGGUUCCAAACACAGAGUCCCUUCAGAGGUACCCCUGCCUGUCUCUAACCCUGAGUGCUGGAAUUAAAGGUGCAUGCUACCAUCACCAGGCUAAAAACCUUUUCAGCUCCUGGAAAUUUCUCAAGGAAGGAGGAAAUUCUAGGCUGUGUCCUUAAGCCACGGAAAGAAUGAUGGAAGAUUCCACUUCCACCACCCAAACCAGCCUCAGGGCUUUGUGGUGCUACAAUAGGCAGCCAUUCAUGUAGCAGUCUUCCACCCCAGCCUCUCUCCUUUAUUGCCUCAGACCUAGGAUGCUAGUUCUUAGAAUCACUCUUCUGGUGUUUCCAUGCAUCAAUAUACCCCACAUGAUGCAAACCUUCCUCUUAAACAUUUUUUAUUAAUGCCUUGAUAACUUCAUGUAUUUUGAUCAUAGUCACCCCGUCAUCCAAAUCCACCUCCAGGCUAAGCCAUCUUGCCAACCUGAUCUGUCUGUCUGUCUGUCUCUCUCUCUCAUAUUAUCUGCGUCCGUGCAUAUGUGCGUGUGCGUGUGUGUGUGCGUGCGUGUGUGUGUGUGUGUGUGUGUGUGUGUGUGAUGAUUUGUAUAUGCUCAGCCCAGGGAGUAGCACUACUAGAAGGUGUAGCCCUGUUGGAGUAGGUGUGUCACUGUGGUUGUAGGCUUUAAGACCCUCAUCCUAGCUUCCUGAAAGCCAGUAUUCUGCCAGCAGCCUUCAGAUGAAGAUGUAGAACUGUCACCUCCUGCACCAUGCCUGCCUGGAUGCUACCAUGUUCCCACCUUGAUGAUAAUGGACUGAACCUCUGAACCUAACACUGGAUCAUCGAAGGCCAUGACUACGUUUAAGGGAAAAAUCUAACACGGAAGACAAUAUUCGGUUUCUUUCCACUUAAAAUGUAAAAGAACGACUUUACAAUGAAUUGGAAAAUAACUAUUUUCCCUUGAA